UAUAGGCUGAUGUAAUGACAAUGAUUUCAUGGUGUUGGGAGUAAGAAUUGGAGAUCUGAUACUGCUAACAUGUUGGUUAGCAUCACAGCUUGUCCAUAGGGAUACUGGCUGGGGUAGCAUUUGGAUCUGUUUCAAGGUGUGUUCCUGCUGCUGCCUUGUGUGUUCAAUCCUGUGGACAAUAAUAAUCAUGCAAACCACAUAUAUGUUGCAUUUUUGUUUAUUAAAAUCCUUAAGUGAUGAUUCUGAAAGCCAAAUGAUUAAUUUUUUAAUGCUAUUAUUUAUUUUCCAUUUACUGUAAACUCACAAAUUUUUGUUUUUUAAUGCUGUUAUUUAUUUUCCAAUUAUUGAAAAUUCACAGAUUUUUGAUAUAUUUUUUUUACUGAAAAUUGCUACACCGAGAUAGAUUUUGCAAAAAUAAAAUUAUAUUUUAAAUUUUGAUAGCAUUAUUUAUUUGCAACAUGUCCUUAAUGACAAUAAUUAAUUUAAAUAAAUGCUUGCAAAUUUUUUUUGA